GGCGGGGUAACGGCCCACCAAGGCUACGAUCAGUAGGGGUUCUGAGAGGAAGGUCCCCCACAUUGGAACUGAGACACGGUCCAAACUCCUACGGGAGGCAGCAGUGAGGAAUAUUGGUCAAUGGACGAGAGUCUGAACCAGCCAAGUAGCGUGCAGGAUGACGGCCCUAUGGGUUGUAAACUGCUUUUAUAAGGGAAUAAAGUGAGCCUCGUGAGGCUUUUUGCAUGUACCUUAUGAAUAAGGACCGGCUAAUUCCGUGCCAGCAGCCGCGGUAAUACGGAAGGUCCGGGCGUUAUCCGGAUUUAUUGGGUUUAAAGGGAGCGUAGGCCGGAGAUUAAGCGUGUUGUGAAAUGUAGACGCUCAACGUCUGCACUGCAGCGCGAACUGGUUUCCUUGAGUACGCACAAAGUGGGCGGAAUUCGUGGUGUAGCGGUGAAAUGCUUAGAUAUCACGAAGGACUCCGAUUGCGAGGGCAGCUCACUGGGGCGCAACUGACGCUGAAGCUCGAAAGCGCGGGUAUCGAACAGGAUUAGAUACCCUGGUAGUCCGCGCGGUAAACGAUGGAUGCCCGCUGUUGGGCCAACUGGUUCAGCGGCCAAGCGAAAGCAUUAAGCAUCCCACCUGGGGAGUACGCCGGCAACAGUGAAACUCAAAGGAAUUGACGGGGGCCCGCACAAGCGGAGGAACAUGUGGUUUAAUUCGAUGAUACGCGAGGAACCUUACCCGGGCUUGAAUUGCAGAGGAAGGAUUUGGAGACAAUGACGCCCUUCGGGGCCUCUGUGAAGGUGCUGCAUGGUUGUCGUCAGCUCGUGCCGUGAGGUGUCGGCUUAAGUGCCAUAACGAGCGCAACCCCUCUCCAUAGUUGCCAUCAGGUUAAGCUGGGCACUCUGUGGACACUGCCACCGUAAGGUGUGAGGAAGGUGGGGAUGACGUCAAAUCAGCACGGCCCUUACGUCCGGGGCUACACACGUGUUACAAUGGCAGGUACAGAGAGCCGGUCGUAUGCAAAUACGAUCCAAUCCUUAAAGCCUGUCUCAGUUCGGACUGGGGUCUGCAACCCGACCCCACGAAGCUGGAUUCGCUAGUAAUCGCGCAUCAGCCAUGGCGCGGUGAAUACGUUCCCGGGCCUUGUACACACCGCCCGUCAAGCCAUGAAAGCCGGGGGCGCCUGAAGUCCGUGACCGCAAGGAUCGGCCUAGGGCGAAACUGGUAAUUGGGGCUAAGUCGUAACAAGGUA
rnacentral:rRNA from 1 species